rnacentral:rRNA from 1 species
GACGAACCGAGCGAACGUUAUUCGGAAUCACUGGGCUUAAAGGGCGCGUAGGCGGGCCGUCAAGUCGAGGGUGAAAUCCCCCAGCUCAACUGGGGAAGUGCCUCCGAUACUGGCGGCCUCGAGGGGAUAGGGGCAUGCGGAACUUCCGGUGGAGCGGUGAAAUGCGUAGAUAUCGGAAGGAACGACCGGUGGCGAAAGGCGGCGAUGCUGGAUCCCGUUC